rnacentral:lncRNA from 1 species
UGGAAGGACCCUGGCCGACUACAAUAUCCAGAAGGAGUCCACUCUUCACCUUGUCCUCCGUCUUCGUGGUGGUGUCUGAACGUUGCCGGUUGGGGCUUCAUGUUUGUGGUUUGUGUGUUGGAACUUCCGUAGAAUCUUUAUCGAUUUUAUGGUUUAUUUGAAACAAUCGAUUGGGGUUUCCCCCCAAUCUCAAUAAUGAAUGUACGGUUUUCUAUUUUUUCUUCGUUGUAAUGUUUGAUGUGCUCUGUUUUGGAGCAUAACUGUAAAAUUGUGUGCUUGUGGGUUGAUUUGUGUGAAAUGUGGGGAUAUGUUUCUGGCUAUAUGUUAUAUUGCCCUAUGUUUUCUUGUGUCUUAAUUGUUGAUGUGUCUUGAUUGUGCUUGAGCAAUUGAAUUUUGCCUUUCCUUUUUGUUGUUUGAUCCAAUCAAAUGCUAGUAGAAUCUAAUCUUUAGACUGUUCAAUUAUCCGAAUGUCUAUUUACCUUCGGGGUCGGUUUUGACUAUAGACGAGAGAGGCGAUCUAGCUUUGGCCCCCAAUUAUUAGGAAACAUUAGGGACUCCGUAAUACUAUUUUGUACUCUUUAUAUUUUAGUCAUAGUAUAAAGUAAUAUUGAAAAUAUAUAAAUAGUUCAACAAUUUGGAUAACCAUAAUUAAUUAAUUAUAGUGUAUAUUAUCUUACAUAAAGUUUGAAACUUUUACACUUAUUCUUGCAUUUGAUUGUUAAAUGAAAUUAUCUUCGAUCAAUUAUAAUUAUUUAGAUAUUGAGUUCAUCUAUCAAUUUUAUAUCUAAUUUCAAGAUUCUAAACUUUUUUCAGCAAUCUUUCUAUUUUUAAAUAAUCUACAUUGCAUAUCUCUUUUUUUUUUUUUGAGAGUAAAAACAAUUUCAUUUCAUUAAAUUAACCCAUGACCAACAAUAUUUUGGACAUUAAUAAGCAAAGAAUCACCAAAAUAUGACUCACAUAUAGAGAGCUUAGCUAGUGCAUGUGCAACACGAUUACCAGUCCUUCGUAAUUGCUGAGCUGAGAAUGUCCCAAAAAUCUUAGCAAGGACAUGAAUGUCGGCUACUAAAGUCCCAUACGCUGAAUAAUCUUCAUCAACUUCAUUUAUUGCCUUAAUGACCAAGCUAGAGUCUCCUUCAAUGACUAACCUUCUCCAUGUUUGAUCACGAGCAAAUUCAACUGCAACGAAAGCUGCUUUUGCUUCCGCCGAAGUAGGGUCGAGUGCUUACCGGACACAAAUAGACUUCCGUCCCAUACAAACCCCAGUAUGAUUUCGAGCAAUGAUUCCAAGUCCAAUCUUUCCUUCCUUCGAAUUAAUAGCCGCAUCGAAACUGAUCUUAACAAAACCCAAUGGUGGUGGCUGCCAUCUUGCCUCCUCAAUACAACUCGGGCUCCUAAGACUAAGUACUUUGGCAAAGGGAUGACGAACUUGGUUUACAAAGUUUAGCGCAAAAGAGGCGACGUCCAUAGGUUCGACCAAAUCGUCUUCAAAAAGGUUCUAUNNNNNNNNNNNNNNNNNNNNNNNNNNNNNNNNNNNNNNNNNNNNNNNNNNNNNNNNNNNNNNNNNNNNNNNNNNNNNNNNNNNNNNNNNNNNNNNNNNNNAAUUAGCUCGGGUGGGUAAUAGAUUUUACAUGCUCUCCACACAAAUAUUUUGAUCUUAUUAGGCAAAUUCAUCGACCACACCCACUUCCACGCGUUUGUUGUAUCAACGUACGAGUCUCUAUACCUUCAAAGAGUUUCGGCAAAUUGAAAUAUACUAUAUUUUAUUUUAUUAUAGUUAAACAAUUUUCUUUUAUAUACUUACUUGUUCAAUAAUAUUUAUAUAACUAUUUUCAAAAAAUUUUGGGGCUCUACCGUAAACUCUGUAAACUUUUGAUUUAACUUAACUUCAUCAAUAUUUAGUUAUAUUUUCUAAAAAAAAAAUUAAUUGUUAAUCAAAAAAUUAUUUUCCAUGUGGAAUGAAUUAAUGUUUACAUUAGACAUGGCCACGGACCGGGUCGGGUCCGGGUCCGGGUCUUACUUUUUCGGGACCCGAAACCAAACCCCGUGGAGGCGGGUCCGGGUCCGGGUCGGGUUCACUUGGGUCCUUCCGGGUCCGAGUCGGGUCCACUCGUGUCCUUCCGGGUCCGUGUCGGUUCCGGGGACCCAAGUUUCUAGCCGUUGUAAUUUAAAAAAAAAAAACAUUUUUUGAAUUCUCGGACCGGGUCCGGUUCGGGUCCAUUUUAUGGCCGUUGCAUUUUCAAAAUUUGAAAAAAAAAAAAAUUUAUUCAGGUGGACCCGACGGAUACCCGUCCGUUGGGUCCUCGGGUCCACCCGCCGGGUCUCGGGUCCAAAAUAUCGGGACCCGAAACCGACCUAUACAUUUUCGGGUCCGGGUCCGGGUCCAUGGUCAACGGGGGCAGUCGCCGGUUCCGGGUCAAACCCGGCCCGUGGCCAUGUCUAGUUUACAUUAUAGAAUACAAAUAAGGAGGCCAUUUUUACAAGAUCUUAAAACUGGCCUAGUACCCCCAAUUUCUCAGAAACGAACUUGUUUACCCUUGACCAAAUAUUUAGGAAAUUAUAUUGUUCUCCCAUGAAUUUAGUACAAAUUAUAUAUUGACUUUUUGUUAUUUUUAAAAUAUAUUACCAAAAUCUUCUUUAAUAUAAAAAACACACAAAAAAAAAAUUAAAUUCAAUAAAUAACUGUUUUGUUCAUCCAAUUUAGAACCUUAUAAGAUGUUAAAAUGAGCUUAUAAGAUGUUUUAGAGCUUAUAAGCUCUUCCAAAGUGUUUGGUAAAUUUUUAGAAAAAGAUCUUAAUUUUUUUAAAAAUAAGCUGUUGGAGAGCAAAUAAGAUCUUUUUAAAUAAGUACAUCUACCCCACCUUUUUAUUUAAGAUCUUUUAAUGAGUAAAAAUAGGAAAUAAGCCCUUUAUCCAAACACUCUAAAAAUUAAUCCUAAAAAUAAGAUGUAACAGUUUAUCAGCUCUUAAAACAUCUUAUCAGACGUAAGAGCUUAUCAGCUGUUUAAAAUAAGCUUAGCCAAACACCCUCUUAGAGCCCGUUUGGCUAAGCUUAUUUAAAACAUCUUAUAAGCUCCUACAUCUGAUAAGAUGUUUUAGGAGCUGAUAAGCUGUUAGAUCUUAUUUUAAAAAUUAUUUUUUAAGGUGUUUGGAUAUGUAGCUUAUAAGUUACUUUUUGUUUUUAUAAGUUGUUCAGGUGUUUGGAAAUAAAAGGUCUGUUUAUUGCUAUAAUGACAAAAAAGUACAUGACGCCAGUAUAAUUGUUAAACUUAUUUGACUCAAAUACUUUUGUUCCUAAAAUAUUAUUAUAGUAUUUACAAAUUAUUUUUUCAAAUAAUAAUAAUAAUAAUAUAAAAUAAAAAUUGUAAAAGAAAUAUAAUUUUUUUUAGAUGAAAGAAAUAUAAUUUAUUAUGGAGAUAAUAAGAAUAUUCGUGUAUUUUUAUAUACAUAUAAAAUAUAAAUAGAGAAUAAUUUUCUUUACAAUUAUUAUGAUAAUUACGAUAAUUAUAUUUAACUAAUUAUUAAUCUUGAUUACAAGAAUACGUUGUUUUGAUAAAAUAUAAAUAUUAUUAGUAAUUAUGUAAUAUAAUAAAGUAUUUGAGGGUAAUUUUGUAUUUUAAAUGUUUUAGUAAAGAAGAAAUAAGAUCUUAAAGAAAAAAAGGUGGGGUAGAGGUAUUUUUUUAAAAACAUCUUAUAAGCUCCCUAACAGCUUAUUUUUGGAAAAAAUAAGAUCUUUUACAAUUUUUUUACCAAACACCUUUUAACAACUUAUAAGCUCCUAAACAUCUUAUAAGAUGUUUUUAGGAGCUUAUAAGCUUAGCCAAACAGGCUCUUAGUUAGACUCAUUCGGACAGUUGACCUAUGUUAUAUCAAUUACCUAUUUUCUUUAGUUUUUUUUCCAAAAUUUAUAAUUACCAAAAUUAAAUCAUAUAUCAAAACGUUUGAUACAAGUUACUCCACAAAUUUGAUUGCCUUCUAGAAUAUUUAAUGUGGAUAUUAUCGUGGGUUCUGUUUAAUUUGAAUUAUUAAAAAUUAUUUUUUUGAGAUUCUCUAUAUAAAAUCAGACAUUAAUUAAGGUUUCUAAUUAUUAUUAGGUCAAAUUGCACUUCACCCCCUUAAAAAAUGCCUUUUUUGCACUUUACCCCCUCAAAAUACAAAAAUGAGACUGCUCCCUUUCAAGAUAUACAACUCGAUGCACUUUGCCCCAAAUGUGUAUUUCGGAUCUCAUUCUUGGUGAAUUACGAGUAUAUACGUCAUUUUACUUUUUCCGCUUGAAAAUCAUCCUUUUAGAGUUACUUAGGGUCCCAAAUUAACAAAAUUCUCGUCCCAAAUUAAUGAAAAUUUGCUUCCAAAUUAGACGAAAUUUUCUUCAAAAUUCGACAAAAUUUGUUCUUUAUUCUUCAUAAGCAUUGUAAUGUAUGGUGAAAAAAUGUUAAAUGACAUUUAAAGCCUUAAAAGAUGAAAUCACCUUUCCAAACUUACUCAAAUCCAACAAGAAUUAAACCGGAAAUACACAAUUUGGAGAAAAGUGCACCGAGUUGUAUAUUUCGAAAUUGGACACUCUAGUUUUUGUAUUUUGAUGGCGGAAAGUGCAAAAGAGGCAUUUUUUUAGGGUGUGAAGUGCAAUUUGCCAUUAUUAUUAUUAUAAUUAUAAUAAUUAUUAUUAUAAUUAUAAUUAUUAUUAUUAUUAUUAUUAUUAUUAUUAUUAUUAUUAUUAUUAUUAUUAUUAUUAUUAUAAUAAUCUACUUGCCUUAAAAAAAUAAAAAGGAAAGAAUUAUUAUUCUCUACCACUCAAAAGGAAAGGACAACUUGCCGUUGCCGUAUAGCAUUGUUGCACUACAAGUCCACCUGACACGUGGCACGAUAUGAUUCGCUAUACCUCCCAAGGCGGUAUCUCCUAAGGUCGGCAUCGCGCCUAUAUAAAGAGGCGUUUCUCGCCUUUACCUUUCAUUCUUAAUCAGAUACAAUCAUCCGAUCUUAUUUCCUCUUAAAAAUCUCUCUACUCCUAUUUUCAAGGUAAUUUUGAUACGCCGAUUUCUGUUUUUUGUUCUUCUUCUUCCGAUCUGUUGAUUGUGUGGUAAUUCGUCGAUCAUGUUGUUGAAUUUUUGGAUCAAUUUUACUUUUUUUUUUUUUUCUGGUGAAUUAAUUUUGAUAUGUCCGAUUUGGAGAUCUAGGUUUUAUUUUCAGUUAAAAGCUGGAACUUGAUUUAUAUCUAGGUUUUCUUUUGUCAGUUCGAAUCUGGUUUAUUGAUUUAAGUUUCGUUUAUUCUCGAUGGAAUCGUGGUGAAUUUGUUUGAUUGUUGACUGCUUAAUCAAUCGAUUUACCUAUUCGAUUUUGGGAUCUAGGUUUUCGUUAUCAGUUAGAAUCUGGAUAUUGAUUCAUCGAUUUAGGUUUUGUUGUCUCUAUUGUAAAUUUGUUUGAUUGCUGACUGCUUUUUCCUGAAUUGUGUUGAGGGAUCUGUCUGCUUCAUUAGUUUUGUAGAAUGUCGUGUUUAUGAUUAUUUCUAUUUGAUCGACUACUAUUUGUUUUCUUCAUGAAUUAUCAUGUGUUUGUGAGAUUUUAGAUAGAAUUCAAUUUUUUUGGGAUAAAAGCAUCUUUUUCUGAUAAUUUUGUAUUGAUGUACAGAUGCAGAUCUUUGUGAAAACUCUCACCGGCAAAACCAUCACCCUCGAGGUGGAAAGCUCAGACACCAUCGACAACGUCAAGGCUAAGAUCCAGGACAAGGAGGGAAUCCCUCCGGACCAGCAGAGGCUCAUCUUUGCCGGCAAACAGCUUGAAGACGGUCGCACACUCGCCGACUACAACAUCCAGAAGGAGUCGACUCUCCACUUGGUCCUCCGACUCCGUGGUGGUAUGCAGAUCUUUGUGAAGACCCUCACCGGAAAGACGAUUACCCUUGAGGUGGAAAGCUCCGACACCAUCGAUAAUGUCAAGGCCAAAAUUCAGGACAAGGAGGGCAUUCCCCCGGACCAGCAGAGACUUAUAUUUGCCGGAAAGCAGCUGGAGGAUGGCCGCACUUUGGCCGACUACAACAUCCAGAAGGAGUCUACCCUCCACUUGGUCCUCCGUCUCCGUGGUGGUAUGCAGAUCUUUGUCAAGACCCUCACCGGAAAGACCAUAACCCUUGAGGUCGAGAGUUCCGACACCAUCGACAACGUGAAGGCCAAGAUCCAGGACAAGGAGGGGAUCCCACCGGACCAGCAGAGACUUAUCUUCGCUGGAAAGCAGCUGGAGGACGGCCGCACUUUGGCUGACUACAACAUCCAGAAGGAGUCUACCCUCCACUUGGUCCUCCGUCUUCGUGGUGGUAUGCAGAUCUUCGUCAAGACCCUCACCGGAAAGACCAUCACCCUUGAGGUGGAGAGCUCAGAUACAAUUGACAAUGUUAAGGCUAAGAUCCAGGACAAGGAGGGUAUUCCUCCGGACCAGCAGAGACUCAUCUUUGCCGGGAAGCAGCUUGAGGAUGGCCGCACUUUGGCCGACUACAACAUCCAGAAGGAGUCGACUUUGCACUUGGUUCUGAGACUUCGUGGUGGUAUGCAGAUUUUCGUCAAGACCCUUACUGGGAAGACCAUCACCCUCGAAGUGGAGAGCUCCGACACCAUUGACAAUGUCAAGGCCAAGAUCCAGGACAAGGAAGGCAUUCCCCCGGAUCAGCAAAGAUUGAUCUUUGCUGGAAAGCAGCUCGAGGAUGGACGUACUUUGGCAGAUUAUAACAUCCAGAAGGAGUCUACACUGCAUUUGGUCCUCCGUCUCCGUGGUGGUAUGCAGAUUUUCGUCAAGACCUUGACUGGAAAGACCAUUACCCUCGAGGUGGAGAGCUCCGACACCAUUGACAAUGUCAAGGCCAAGAUCCAGGACAAGGAGGGUAUUCCCCCAGACCAGCAGAGACUGAUCUUCGCCGGAAAGCAGCUUGAGGACGGCCGCACUUUGGCCGACUACAACAUUCAGAAGGAGUCUACCCUUCACUUGGUCCUUCGUCUGCGUGGUGGUAUGCAGAUCUUUGUCAAGACCUUGACCGGGAAGACCAUCACCCUUGAGGUCGAGAGCUCUGACACCAUCGACAAUGUCAAGGCUAAGAUCCAGGAUAAGGAGGGGAUCCCACCAGACCAGCAGAGGCUGAUUUUCGCCGGAAAGCAGCUCGAAGACGGCCGCACAUUGGCUGACUACAACAUCCAGAAGGAGUCGACUCUGCACUUGGUUCUGAGGUUGAGGGGUGGUAUGCAAAUCUUUGUCAAGACCUUGACUGGCAAGACCAUCACCCUGGAGGUGGAGAGCUCCGACACCAUCGAUAAUGUGAAGGCCAAGAUUCAGGAUAAGGAGGGUAUCCCACCAGACCAGCAGAGGUUGAUCUUUGCCGGUAAGCAGUUGGAGGAUGGAAGGACCCUGGCCGACUACAAUAUCCAGAAGGAGUCCACCCUUCACCUUGUCCUCCGUCUUCGUGGUGGUUUUUGAAAUUUAUGCUCAUGUUCUUGAUUAUAUUUCGUAUUUUCGAACAAUCAAUUGGGGUUUCCCCCCAAUCUAAA